GCAGAUGUGGUGGAAUUGGUAGACACGCUAGCUUCAGGUGCUAGUGGCUUAACGGCCGUGCGAGUUCAAGUCUCGCCAUCUGUACCA
rnacentral:tRNA from 4 species